rnacentral:rRNA from 1 species
GAGGGGUAAGCCCUCGGCAUAUUGCUCAGUAACACGCGGAUAACCUGCCCUUGGGUUUGGGAUAACCCCGGGAAACUGGGACUAAUACCGGAUAGAUCAAAGAAACUGGAAUGUUCUUUGGUUUAAAGCUCCGGCGCCCAAGGAUGGGUCUGCGGCCUAUCAGGUAGUAGUGGGUGUAACGUACCUACUAACCUACGACGGGUAAGGGUUGUGAGAGCAAGAGCCCUGAGAUGGAUUCUGAGACAUGAAUCCAGGCCCUACGGGGUGCAGCAGGCGCGAAAACUUUACACUGCGGGAAACCGCGAUAAGGGGACCCCGAGUGCCAGCACCUAGUGCUGGCUGUCCAGCUGUUCAAAAAACAGUUGUUAGCAAGGGCCGGGCAAGACCGGUGCCAGCCGCCGCGGUAACACCGGCGGCCCGAGUGGUAGCCGUUAUUAUUGGGUUUAAAGGGUCCGUAGCCGGCUUAUUAAGUCUCUUGGGAAAUCUGGCGACUCAAUCGUCAGGCGUUCAAGAGAUACUGGUAGGCUUGGGACCGGGAGAGGUGGGAGGUACUCCAGGGGUAGGGGUGAAAUCUCGUAAUCCUUGGGGGACCACCGAUGGCGAAGGCAUCCCACCAGAACGGGUCCGACGGUGAGGGACGAAAGCUGGGGGCACGAACCGGAUUAGAUACCCGGGUAGUCCCAGCCGUAAACGAUGCUCGCUAGGUGUCAGGUGCAGUGCGACCGCAUCUGGUGCCGUCGUGAAAACUUGAAGCGAGUCACCUGGGAAGUACGGUCGCAAGGCUGAAACUUAAAGGAAUUGGCGGGGGAGCACUACAACGGGUGGAGCCUGCGGUUCAAUUGGAUUCAACGCCGGA